UAUCGACCCCCUUUUUGUGACAUAAAGAGAGUUUUUGGUGUCUAAUGCCCUUACAUUAUGGAAUAUCGUCUAUCGAGCCGAACAAGGGUCGUAACUUCUUCGACAUGUGACGAUAUCGUUUUAUUAGCAUUCUGAUUAUUUUUAAACUGAUCCGCUUCGCGGCUGCUACAUUGCAAGUAUAUGGGACGAAUUCUUACUGUGACCUGAGCGUAGCCUGGUCACGAUUAUUUUUAACAGACUUAAAAUCGACGCGAAGCUGAUCCGCUUCGCGGCUACUACAUUGCAAGUAUAUGGGACGAAUUCUUACUGUGACCUGAGCGUAGCCUGGUCACGGUAAGAUUAUUUUUUUCUAUUAAAUUGUCUACACCGCUUGAUGUGUUAUAGGACCGACGACAUCCAAAAAUAAGAAUGCAAUGCUUAUAUGUAUAUACUUAUUGGUGUCCAUUUUUAUGAAAUAAAAU